CCACACGGAAAUUUUGUUGACACAAGUAAGUAAUCAACGAUAAUCUAUUUAGGUUUCACCUUGAUUUAAGCCAGUAACCAUGAUUUUAAAUAAAGUCAUCGUAGGUGUUCUUUUCCUGGCAGCGUUUUGCAUACCUGGGAUGCUAGGUGGAAGUGGAAAUAAUUGUUGGGCUCCACCAAUGUUCUAUGGAUACGAAUGCAAGUCAGACACGGCUUUAUUUGGACACCCAGGCCAUGAGAUCGGGUAUUUGAUCAAGUUUAAUGGGAAUACGAUGCUUUGCUGCAAAGCAUUUUACUGCCCGAACGAUGAUUGCAAGCUUUAUGAUAUCGGAUGCAGCGCUAAAAGUUGGAGAACAAAACGGCUGCCUUGGGGAAACAAUCUUGCCAAACCGUCACUACAAUGCAAAGGCGUUUUUCUCGGGGCAGCUUACUCAUUUUCUCACUAGAAAUAACAAAGGCAGAUUCAAUUUCAUGCGAUGUUAAUAAGUACUUUUUUGAAAAGUAGCAAUAAAAUUGCUUAUUUUGUUUUACGAAAAGGAAAUACUGAUUUCACUAUAACUUUUGUCAUUUUUUUUUCAAUUAUUGGUUUAAAAGAAGUUUCCAAACUGAAACAAAUUGUUCGCUCGAAGAUGACACGUGGUGAAUUUGAAUACUUUUGAAAUAAAACAAUUCCUUUUA